UAUAAUAUAUAAUUUGCACGUCUAUCUUAUAAUUGUUAAUUACUAUUUGUUAAUCUGCUAUUCAUUGUAUUUUCAAAAACACGGAACUGACCUGAUACAAAGGUUACAUUUUUGACCUUGGUCAAAAAAUUGCCAAGCGCACACAACAAGAGACAAGUGACCACGCUCAUUUCUCGAGGAUCAAGCUAUAUGUGCGAACUAAAGCUUCUUCGUAGUAUCUUUUAGUAAGAAAGAAAGCAGGGUGCGUCAUCGAGGGGAAUAAAUAAACCGUGACAUCGAGAAAAUGAGAGCGGAGCGAGUACGCUAGAUACUCUCAAUUUGCUCGAUCAACUGGAGAAAAUAGAUAUCGUUUCAUGUUUGCAUCAUUCGAUGAAAUUUUUAUUGUUCACCAUUUAUUAUUAUUUUUAACAAAAAAA